GGCGGGGGGCGCGGCCUCGCCCGCCGGUCGCGACGUCGCCGCCGCCGCCAUGCGCCGCUGAGGCGGGCGCUGGCCGGGCCUCGCCAUGGGGGCGCCGCGGCCCAACGGCAGCCUUGGCCUCACCGAGGGCCCCCCGCAGCCGGGCGGGGGGGCGGCGGCGGGGCCGGGAGACCGCGGCUGCGAGAACGGGGCUCUCAUGGACAGCUUCGGCAUCUUCCUGCAGGGGCUCCUGGGCGUCGUGGCCUUCAGCACCCUCAUGCUGAAACGCUUCCGAGAACCAAAGCAUGAAAGACGGCCCUGGAAGAUAUGGUUUUUAGAUACUUCCAAGCAAGCCAUAGGGAUGUUAUUCAUCCACUUCGCAAAUGUCUAUUUAUCAGACCUUACAGAAGAAGACCCCUGUUCAUUGUACCUUAUCAACUUCUUGUUAGAUGCCACAUUAGGAAUGCUGUUAAUCUACAUUGGCAUACGUGCAGUCAGCAGCAUUGUGGAGUGGCAGCAGUGGGACACCCUUCGCUUUGGCGAAUACGGUGACCCCGUGCAGUGCAGUGCUUGGAUGGGCCAGUGUGCUCUGUACAUAAUGAUUAUGACAUUUGAGAAAACCAUCAUCAUUAUAGUGCUGCUUAUACCUCAGUGGAAAGAGGUAGCUUUAUUGAAUCCCAUAGAGAACCCCCAGCUGGAGCUGGCUAUCGUCAUGCUGAUAGUUCCCUUCUUUGUUAAUGCGUUAAUGUUCUGGGUAGUAGAUAAUUUCCUUAUGAAGAAAGGGAAGACAAAAGCUAAACUUGAAGAAAAGGAAGCAGGUCAAGAUUCCAGAAAUGGAAGUAAAGUCCGAUACAGGAGAGCAGCAUCACAUGAAGAGUCAGAGUCAGAAAUCCUUAUUUCAGCAGAUGAUGAGAUGGAGGAAUCGGACACUGAAGAGGACCUGCGUAGACUGACCAACUUAAAGCCCAUUAAGAAAAAGAAGCAUCGCUUUGGUCUGCCUGUAUGACACAUUCCUGACCUGUGUAUUUGCAGGUUUCGUCACAAAAACUUCAGUCAGUGGGUUUUAAUGUUGCAAUUGCAUCUCCCUUUUCAUACAAACUGACUUAAAAGCAAGGUCUGCCAACAGAAUGCAAACAGUUGGAAGACUUCCAGUUCAGUUGCACUACAGACACACUGACCAAUUAUGCAAGAAUGUCUUUUCAUCCUGUGUGAAGAGCACAGCGUCCGUCAGGCCUGGUCGCUAAGAGGAUUUGUAUCUGACGUUUCAGAGAAGAUCAUAGAAAACAGGGCAAUCUUUCACUUGUGGUUACUGAUGAUACAGUUUAAGAUGUUCUCAAAAAGGCAUCAGAAUCAACUAAGUUAAAGCCAGCCCCUGUGAAAAAGAAGCGUCCCCCUGUGAAGGAAGAAGACCUCAAAGGAGCCAGAGGAAACCUUUCCAAAAACCAGGAAAUUAAAUCCAAAACCUACCAAGUGAUGAAGCAGUGUG